rnacentral:rRNA from 1 species
GUGGGGAAUUUUGGACAAUGGGCGAAAGCCUGAUCCAGCAAUGCCGCGUGCAGGAUGAAGGCCCUCGGGUUGUAAACUGCUUUUGUACGGAACGAAAAGCCUGGGGCUAAUAUCCCCGGGUCAUGACGGUACCGUAAGAAUAAGCACCGGCUAACUACGUGCCAGCAGCCGCGGUAAUACGUAGGGUGCAAGCGUUAAUCGGAAUUACUGGGCGUAAAGCGUGCGCAGGCGGUUUUGUAAGACAGUGGUGAAAUCCCCGGGCUCAACCUGGGAACUGCCAUUGUGACUACAAGGCUAGAGUGCGGCAGAGGGGGAUGGAAUUCCGCGUGUAGCAGUGAAAUGCGUAGAUAUGCGGAGGAACACCGAUGGCGAAGGCAAUCCCCUGGGCCUGCACUGACGCUCAUGCACGAAAGCGUGGGGAGCAAACAGGAUUAGAUACCCCAGUAGUCC